UACGUAGGGUGCGAGCGUUGUCCGGAAUUAUUGGGCGUAAAGGGCUCGUAGGCGGUUUGUCGCGUCGGGAGUGAAAACCUCGGGCUUAACUCGGGGCUUGCUUUCGAUACGGGCAGACUGGAGGUAUGCAGGGGAGAACGGAAUUCCUGGUGUAGCGGUGAAAUGCGCAGAUAUCAGGAGGAACACCGGUGGCGAAGGCGGUUCUCUGGGCAUGACUUGACGCUGAGGAGCGAAAGUGUGGGGAGCGAACAGG
rnacentral:rRNA from 1 species